rnacentral:rRNA from 1 species
GGGGUCUGGGCUUUUGAAAGUCCUUUCCCUGCUUGCUUCAAAGGCUAUGUUUUCAUACACACUAUUGAAGUUAUAGAAUGUCUCUUUAUUGACUCUUGUGGUCAGUAAAACCUAUACAACUUUCAGCAACGGAUCUCUUGGCUCUCCCAUCGAUGAAGAACGCAGCGAAAUGCGAUAAGUAAUGUGAAUUGCAGAAUUCAGUGAAUCAUCGAAUCUUUGAACGCACCUUGCGCCCUUUGGUAUUCCGAAGGGCAUGCCUGUUUGAGUGUCAUUAAAUUCUCAACCUUACUUGCUUUUGCUUGUGAGGCUUGGACGUGAGGGCUUUGCUGGCUUCCUUCAGUGGAUGGUCUGCUCCCUUYAAAUGUAUUAGUGGGAUCCUUUGUGGACGGUCACUUGGUGUGAUAAUUAUCUACGCCGCUUGGCUGUGAAGCAAGACUUNUGGNAACCUGCUCAUAACCGUCGAAAGACAA